rnacentral:rRNA from 1 species
GUCCUUGCUGUAAACUAUGUACACUUGGCGUAGUGGGACUCAACCCCCAUUGUGCCGUAGCGAACGCGAUAAGUGUACCGCCUGGGGAGUACGCUCGCAAGGGUGAAACUCAAAAGAAUUGACGGGGACCCGCACAAGCAGUGGAGCAUGUGGUUUAAUUCGAUGCAACGCGAAGAACCUUACCUGGAUUUGACAUGCAGUUGACAGUAUUAGAAAUAGUACCUUCCCGCAAGGGACAAUUGUGCAGGUGCUGCAUGGCUGUCGU